rnacentral:rRNA from 1 species
UGUAGUCAUAUGCUUGUCUCAAAGAUUAAGCCAUGCAUGUCUAAGUAUAAGCAAUUAUACCGUGAAACUGCGAAUGGCUCAUUAAAUCAGUUAUCGUUUAUUUGAUAGUACCUUACUACUUGGAUAACCGUGGUAAUUCUAGAGCUAAUACAUGCUGAAAACCCCGACUUCGGAAGGGGUGUAUUUAUUAGAUAAAAAACCAAUGCCCUUCGGGGCUCUUUGGUGAUUCAUGAUAACUUUUCAGAUCGCAUGGCCUUGCGCCGGCGACGGUUCAUUCAAAUUUCUGCCCUAUCAACUUUCGAUGGUAAGGUAUUGGCUUACCAUGGUUUCAACGGGUAACGGGGAAUGGGCGGGGGCGGCGGGCCGG